AAUGAAAUGCCUGAUAAAAGGAUUAUUUUGAUAGAAUAAAUCAUGUACUUAGAAUACUUUCAUUA
rnacentral:tRNA from 1 species